UGGUUGUGCCGCUUUUGCUUCUGC
rnacentral:siRNA from 1 species